rnacentral:lncRNA from 1 species
UGUUCAUGCAAAUAUCGAUCGAUUGAAGCUCCAAUUCCGUCGGAUAGGCUUCUCUGACGAGCAUACUCUCUGCUUGACCUUGUGCAGGCAGGAGCAGAUGCGUGCUUCGUGGAGGCACCGCGGAGCGACGACGAGAUGAGGGAGGUCUGCAAGCGCACCAAUGGUUUCAGGGCUGCCAACAUGCUGGAGGGUGGGUACACCCCCCUGCACACGCCACAGGAGCUCAAGGAACUGGGAUUCCACCUCAUAGUGCACUCCACCACCGCCGUCUACGCGUCGGCUCGCGCGUUGAUCGACGUCCUCAAAGUGAUGAAGGAAGAAGGCACCAGCAGAGACCAACUCCACAAGCUUACCACCUUCGAGGAGUUCAACAGUUUGAUCGGACUGAAGAAACUAAACGAGAUCGGAGCCCGAUACGACAAGUUCCGAGUUCCCCCGAACUGAACGCAUGAAGGAUCACAGCAGCAAUGGCAUA